rnacentral:tRNA from 1 species
GUCCCCGUGGCGCAACUGGACAGCGCGUUGGCCUCCGGAGCCAAAGGUUGUGAGUUCGAAUCUCACCGGGGAUA